UGUGUUGGGUGUGUUUGGAUCAUCUGUCCAGUUCAAGCUGAGGUAACUUCGGUAAUCGAACGUAGGUUUGGUUCUCGUCUGUUAUAAUGUUGGGGGUAAUGCGUCAGGCCGGGUAACGGAACAGCGAUAACCUCUCGCCUUGUGUGUGUGAACGGAUUGCAGAUGAGAAUGAUCGAG
rnacentral:SRP_RNA from 10 species